rnacentral:rRNA from 1 species
GCGAACGGGUGAGUAACACGUGGGUGAUCUGCCCUGCACUUCGGGAUAAGCCUGGGAAACUGGGUCUAAUACCGGAUACGACCUUAGGCUGCAUGGUCUUUGGUGGAAAGGUUUACUGGUGCAGGAUGGGCCCGCGGCCUAUCAGCUUGUUGGUGGGGUAAUGGCCUACCAAGGCGACGACGGGUAGCCGACCUGAGAGGGUGACCGGCCACACUGGGACUGAGACACGGCCCAGACUCCUACGGGAGGCAGCAGUGGGGAAUAUUGCACAAUGGGCGAAAGCCUGAUGCAGCGACGCCGCGUGAGGGAUGACGGCCUUCGGGUUGUAAACCUCUUUCAGCAGGGACGAAGCGAAAGUGACGGUACCUGCAGAAGAAGCACCGGCCAACUACGUGCCAGCAGCCGCGGUAAUACGUAGGGUGCGAGCGUUGUCCGGAAUUACUGGGCGUAAAGAGCUCGUAGGCGGUUUGUCGCGUCGUCUGUGAAAACCAGGGGCUCAACCCCUGGCUUGCAGGCGAUACGGGCAGACUUGAGUACUGCAGGGGAGACUGGAAUUCCUGGUGUAGCGGUGAAAUGCGCAGAUAUCAGGAGGAACACCGGUGGCGAAGGCGGGUCUCUGGGCAGUAACUGACGCUGAGGAG